rnacentral:rRNA from 1 species
GGGGGGGGGGGCUAUACUGCAGUCGAGCGAACAGAUAAGGAGCUUGCUCCUUUGACGUUAGCGGCGGACGGGUGAGUAACACGUGGAUAACCUACCUAUAAGACUGGGAUAACUUCGGGAAACCGGAGCUAAUACCGGAUAACAUAUUGAACCGCAUGGUUCAAUAGUGAAAGGCGGCUUUGCUGUCACUUAUAGAUGGAUCCGCGCCGUAUUAGCUAGUUGGUAAGGUAACGGCUUACCAAGGCAACGAUACGUAGCCGACCUGAGAGGGUGAUCGGCCACACUGGAACUGAGACACGGUCCAGACUCUAUACGGGAGGCAGCAGUAGGGAAUCUUCCGCAAUGGGCGAAAGCCUGACGGAGCAACGCCGCGUGAGUGAUGAAGGUCUUCGGAUCGUAAAACUCUGUUAUCAGGGAAGAACAAAUGUGUAAGUAACUGUGCACAUCUUGACGGUACCUGAUCAGAAAGCCACGGCUAACUACGUGCCAGCAGCCGCGGUAAUACGUAGGUGGCAAGCGUUAUCCGGAAUUAUUGGGCGUAAAGCGCGCGUAGGCGGUUUUUUAAGUCUGAUGUGAAAGCCCACGGCUCAACCGUGAGGGUCAUUGGAAACUGGAAAACUUGGAGUGCAGAGAGGAAGGGGAAUUCCAUGUGUAGCGUAAAUGCGAAAA